rnacentral:rRNA from 1 species
CCUACGGGAGGCAGCAGUGGGGAAUAUUGCACAAUGGGGGAAACCCUGAUGCAGCAACGCCGCGUGAGUGAAGAAGUAUUUCGGUAUGUAAAGCUCUAUCAGCAGGGAAGAAAAUGACGGUACCUGCGUAAUACUCCCCGGCUACCUACGUUCCAGCAGCCGCGGUCAUACGUAGGGGGCAAGCGUUAUCCGGAUUUACUGGGUGUAAAGGGAGCGUAGACGGCGAUACAAUGCUGAAGUGAAAGCCCGGGGCUCAACCCCGGGACUGCUUUGGAAACUGUGUUGCUGGAGUGCUGGAGAGGCAAGCGGAAUUCCUAGUGUAGCGGUGAAAUGCGUAGAUAUUAGGAAGAACACCAGUGGCGAAGGCGGCUUGCUGGACAGUAACUGACGUUGAGGCUCGAAAGCGUGGGGAGCAAACAGGAUUAGAUACCCGGGUAGUC